rnacentral:misc_RNA from 1 species
AAGCAACUCUAAAUCAGGUUUUGCUGUAGUUGCAAUGCAAUUUGACGUACUAGCCAAUACAGCAGUUUCAGUUUCUCUGUCCUCCUGCGGCAAAACACCUGUUUCAGCACGUUCCUCAUCUGGUAAUUGCUCAAGCGGGACUUCAGUGGUUAAUGUGUCAUCAGGCUCCAUUUCAGGAUCCCAAGGUUCCUUGGGGUUCAAUGGGAUUUCCUGGACUGUCCUGUAAAUGGCUUCCGUCUCUCGACGGACUCUCUUAUUCUGAACGUCGACUUCUUUACUCUCACCCCCUGCACAAACCCUCGAUGCAUAUCGGAGCUGCAACCCUGGUGGUUUCUUCCAUGGGA